UACGUAGGGUGCGAGCGUUAAUCGGAAUUAUUGGGCGUAAAGCGCGCGCAGGUGGUUCCUUAAGUCUGAUGUGAAAGCCCACGGCUCAACCGUGGAGGGUCAUUGGAAACUGGGGAACUUGAGUGCAGAAGAGGAAAGUGGAAUUCCACGUGUAGCGGUGAAAUGCGUAGAGAUGUGGAGGAACACCAGUGGCGAAGGCGACUUUCUGGUCUGUAACUGACACUGAGGCGCGAAAGCGUGGGGAGCAAACAGG
rnacentral:rRNA from 1 species